rnacentral:rRNA from 1 species
CCUGGCUCAGAUUGAACGCUGGCGGCAUGCUUACACAUGCAAGUCGAACGGCAGCACGGACUUCGGUCUGGUGGCGAGUGGCGAACGGGUGAGUAAUGUAUCGGAACGUACCUUUCAGUGGGGGAUAACGUAGCGAAAGUUACGCUAAUACCGCAUAUUCUGUGAGCAGGAAAGCAGGGGAUCGCAAGACCUUGCGCUGAUUGAGCGGCCGAUAUCAGAUUAGCUAGUUGGUGAGGUAAAGGCUCACCAAGGCGACGAUCUGUAGCGGGUCUGAGAGGAUGAUCCGCCACACUGGAACUGAGACACGGUCCAGACUCCUACGGGAGGCAGCAGUGGGGAAUUUUGGACAAUGGGGGCAACCCUGAUCCAGCCAUGCCGCGUGAGUGAAGAAGGCCUUCGGGUUGUAAAGCUCUUUCGGCCGGGAAGAAAUCGCAUGGGCUAAUACCCUGUGCGGAUGACGGUACCGGCAUAAGAAGCACCGGCUAACUACGUG